AUGUAUGUCCCAAGUAUAACAUGAUUUUCAAUCAAAAAAGUUGAAACCAACUAUUUUUAUUUUAAAAAUGGAUUUGAAGGUGUGAGGUGGUGAAGGGAGCUCUAAUUAGAAUUGGUCCAAGCAUAUUAUUUUAUCAGCUAUAGCAAUGUCACAAAGUUGGGUAAGCAGUACAAUUCGUUGCCCUUUCUUCCACGCGAGAAGUGAGAGCCCAACCAAGUUGUUGGAGAAGACUCGAUUUAAAAUUAUCGGCUAUUGGGUCUAAUAUCACAUUUCAAACCCAAAAGAAGUAAGAAGGGAUGAUCGGUUUCUUACACAAUAUGGAGCUGCAAAUGGACAAUUACCAAUCUCAGACCACUUCUUUUGCUCCAUGGUCCAUCUCUGUCAAAUUUUGCUUGGUGAACAAUGAUUCAGAUUAAUUAUUCACUUUUAUUUCUGCAUUUACCAAAAAAAGAUUCUUCACUUUAUUCAUGCUCAUUGCCUUGGAACUUUCUUCUGGUAAAUGUUUCUUAAGUUGUCAGAUGCCCAUUCUGC